UGAGGAAUCUUGCGCAAUGGGGGAAACCCUGACGCAGCAAUGCCGCGUGGGUGAAGAAGGCCUUCGGGUCGUAAAGCCCUGUCAGGCGGGAAGAAUAGCCUCGGAUUGAAUAGGUCUGAGGUAUGACGGUACCGCCGAAGGAAGCACCGGCUAACUCCGUGCCAGCAGCCGCGGUAAGACGGAGGGUGCAAGCGUUAUUCGGAAUCAUUGGGCGUAAAGAGCGUGUAGGCGGCCGGGCAAGUCAGAGGUGAAAGCCCAGGGCUCAACCCUGGAAGUGCCUUUGAAACUGCUUGGCUUGAGUUCGGGAGAGGGAAGUGGAAUUCCUGGUGUAGAGGUGAAAUUCGUAGAUAUCAGGAGGAACACCGGUGGCGAAGGCGACUUCCUGGACCGAAACUGACGCUGAGACGCGAAAGCGUGGGGAGCAAACAGG
rnacentral:rRNA from 1 species